GACAGAGGUUGCAAGCGUUGUUCGGAAUCACUGGGCGUAAAGGGCGCGUAGGUUGUUAAAUAUGUCUGAUGUGAAAGCCCUUGGCUUAACUGAGGAAGUGCAUCAGAAACUAUUUGACUGGAGUGCAGAAGAGGAUGGCGGAAUUCCCGGAGUAGCGGUGAAAUGCAUAGAUACCGGGAGGAACACCUGAGGCGAAGGCGGCCAUCUGGUCUGUAACUGACGCUGAAGCGCGAAAGCACGGGUAGCAAACAGG
rnacentral:rRNA from 1 species